AGGGUUCGAUUCUGGCUCAGGAUGAACGCUGGCGGCGUGCCUAACACAUGCAAGUCGAACGGGAACUCCUAGAUGAAGUUUCGAUGGAUUUAGGAAAUUCUAGUGGCGGACGGGUGAGUAACGCGUGGGUAACCUGCCCUUAAGAGAGGAAUAACAACGAGAAAUCGGUGCUAAUACCUCAUAUGCUUACAGUACCGCAUGGUACAGUGAGGAAAGAUUUAUCGCUUAAGGAUGGACCCGCGUUUGAUUAGCCAGUUGGCAGGGUAACGGCCUACCAAAGCAACGAUCAAUAGCCGGCCUGAGAGGGUGAACGGCCACAUUGGAACUGAGACACGGUCCAAACUCCUACGGGAGGCAGCAGUGGGGAGUAUUGCACAAUGGGCGCAAGCCUGAAUGCAGCAACGCCGCGUGAGUGAAGAAGUAUUUCGGUAUGUAAAGCUCUAUCGAUGGGGAAUAAAACUGAAGGUACCCAAGUAAGAAGCCCGGCUAACUACGUGCCAGCCGCAGC
rnacentral:rRNA from 1 species